AUUGAACGCUGGCGGCAGGCUUAACACAUGCAAGUCGAACGAGUGGCGGACGGGUGAGUAAUGCUUGGGAAUCUAGCUUAUGGAGGGGGAUAACUACGGGAAACUGUAGCUAAUACCGCGUACCAUAGGAUGAGCCCAAGUGGGAUUAGGUAGUUGGUGAGGUAAAGGCUCACCAAGCCGACGAUCUCUAGCUGGUCUGAGAGGAUGACCCGCCCAAAUGGGACUGGGACAAGGCCCCGAUGCCCUCGGGGGGCAGGAGGGGGGAAAAGUGGCCAAUGGGGGCAACCUGACGCAGCCAUGCCGCGUGAAUGAAGAAGGCCUUCGGGUUGUAAAGUUCUUUCGGUAGCGAGGCGUUAACUACAGAAGAAGCACCGGCUAACUCCGUGCCAGCAGCCGCGGUAAUUC
rnacentral:rRNA from 1 species